AAGAGAGGCUCGCAAGCUACGAAAACUGCUAACUUUCGCAACCCUGGUUGAACCCCUGGGCUCCCUUA
rnacentral:tRNA from 1 species